rnacentral:rRNA from 1 species
UAGGGAAUAUUGCACAAUGAGCGAAAGCUUGAUGCAGCAACGCCGCGUGCGCGAUGACGGCCUUCGGGUUGUAAAGCGCUUUUCGGGGAGAUGAGGAAGGACAGUAUCCCCGGAAUAAGUCUCGGCUAACUACGUGCCAGCAGCCGCGGUAACACGUAGGAGGCAAGCGUUAUCCGAAUUUACUGGGCGUAAAGCGCGUGCAGGCGGUUCGGUAAGUUGGAUGUGAAAUCUCCCGGCUCAACUGGGAGAGGACGUUCAAUACUGUCGGACUUGAGGACGAUAGAGGGAGGUGGAAUUCCCGGUGUAGUGGUGAAAUGCGUAGAUAUCGGGAGGAACACCAGUGGCGAAAGCGGCCUCCUGGAUCGUUCCUGACGCUCAGACGCGAAAGCUAGGGGAGCGA